rnacentral:tRNA from 2 species
GGACCCGUAGCUCAGCCAGGAUAGAGCGCCGGCCUGCGGUUUUAAAGUAGGGAGCCGGCGGUCCCGGGUUCAAGUCCCGGCGGGUCCG